AGAACGAACGCUGGCGGCAUGCCUAACACAUGCAAGUCGAACGAGACCUUCGGGUCUAGUGGCGCACGGGUGCGUAACGCGUGGGAAUCUGCCCUUCGGUUCGGAAUAACAGUUAGAAAUGACUGCUAAUACCGGAUAAUGACGUAAGUCCAAAGAUUUAUCGCCGAAGGAUGAGCCCGCGUAAGAUUAGCUAGUUGGUGAGGUAAAGGCUCACCAAGGCUACGAUCUUUAGCUGGUCUGAGAGGAUGAUCAGCCACACUGGGACUGAGACACGGCCCAGACUCCGUACGGGAGCAG
rnacentral:rRNA from 1 species